AAUUUUCAGCCCUAUACUAA
rnacentral:snRNA from 1 species